CCGGAAUGUUUUCCUUCCUUCGGACUCUGUGGAGGCACACAGACCGUGGGGACUCUGUCCGCCGUGACAGCCCUAACAUUUGCCAGAGCUCUGGACGCCGCUGUAGAAAUGGCAUUGCCCACCCUGAAAGUGAGAAGGUCGUGGAAGGAGGCAAAGUGAUGGGUUUUGGAGACAUUUCAUCAAGGAGAAUGAAACAGCUAAAUUGAAAUGAGUUCUCAAAAUCAGCCCAGUGUGCCCUGGCUCGGUAAAAAAGCUUGUUUUAACUCGGCGUGCAGAUGACACGAGGCUGCCCCGGUGCAGGCGUUAGAAACCUCCCGUGCAAACCCAGUGACAAAGCAGUGGCAACACCACCUGCGUUGACAUGUGAGCAAAAAUAACAGCAGUGGUUCUACUGCAAAAGGACCUCCCCCUGCAAAGCAGACCCCUCACACUGCGAGCACCCCACGGGGCUGACCCGUGUGGCACAAACGCAUCAUUUCCAGGCUCCUUCUCGAAACCGCGCCUGGGAUGCCCCAGGAAACCCUGAACAGGCACAGAGUCUGCUUGGCAGGACCCUUUGGAAAGCACCAGGGUGCUGAAACAGCAGCAGGGACGCUGGCCGAGCAUCUCCGCAGCCACUGCAGCCACCGAGAGGCCGAAGAACAAACUGGCAGAAGAAAUUAGUUUGAUGAGAGAGGUCGGAGGAUGGCCCCAGUUUCAGUGACAGUGAGGUCCCCCCACCUGAGUGGGACCCAGGACCUUGAGUUAAGAGAUUCCUCAGCCCCCCUAUGUGAAAAUCACAGGAGACGAACCACUUUGGGCCAAUACUUUUUUUUUCUUGCUGUCUCUUUGAACAACAACAAAAAAAAUGACUAAGUCUGCAAAUCCAGGGCAAUCACCGUGUCAGCUCCGAGCUGAGAUGUUUCCCACUGCGCACCUGGACGGUGUAAAUCACCCCAGCGGUAAACACGUCAGGCCGGCGAGGGCUGCAGGCGGGUCGGGGGCACCAUCCCCCAGCCAGGUCCAUAAACCGGGGCUGGCCUGCGCUCGCCAGUGCUCCUGUGCCCCUCUCCCCAGGAAAGGCUCCCCUCCCAGCCUGGGGACAGAGUCCCUUUGCAGAGGUUGCUCCGAUGAUGAUGAUGAUGACGAUGACGGCCAGAGGUGCCCCCGCCCGCCCCACAGGCCGGCAGGCCCUGGGCAGGAAUCCGGGAGCGAGGCUGACAGAGGUUUACGCUGUUACGAAUGGCUUUAUGGUACAGAGAGCGGGGACCAGGGCUUCGGGCUUCACGGUGGCUACUUUUGAAGGCAGCGUGUAAAAAUAAAACCUAGUAAAAUGUUUGUUUUUUAAUAUCAUGCCAGUAAAAAUCGUAACAAUAGUAAUAAUGAUAACCAAAAGAUCUAUGUGAAAUAUCCCCGAAGUUAGGAAUCAAAGCAGCAUUCCCCUUUGCACAUACUGAAUUAAAAUAUUAAAAACGACUCUCCUCCUGCUGUCUUAAAAUCCUGACUCCUAGUGAAUGACCAACCAUUUGGUGCAUCAAAUCCCCGAAAGGGGGAAAGCAUGGCAGAAUACAUCUCAAAAACAUCACUUCCCUGAGAAUUUCUUUACAUUCUGAUGCCUCACUCCCCCCUCCAAAAAAAACCCCAACAAGAACCAAACAAAUAACACCCCUCCCCCCCAAACUCUCUUUAUAAUUAUCUGGCUAGUAGGAGUCUUUUAAAUGAUAUCUUCUGUCUUCAGCCAGACAGACGUGAGGACACGCAAUGUAAACAUUAUAAAAGCAGCCUACAGUACAGCUUUUUAUGGCUCCGUGCCCUUCCAGCCGCUGCACGGCUUCGUGAAAGGCAGAGAACCCGAGAGCAGGCACUCUGCCUCCAGAGCCAACCUUUGCCCCAAAGAAAAAUAACCCAGAGGAGCGAUCCCACUGCCCGAAACGCAGCCAGGAUCAAAUGGUUGCUGAUCAGAGCAAAUAUUUAAAUUGGAUAAGUCAAAUUGAGCAUUAUUAAAUAAAGCUUAUUUAAUAUGUCUCGAACAGAAAAUGUCUUUUGAAGAGCAUUUUAAACCUGGUAUUAGAAAUCUGGCUGACUGCGCGUCUUGGGACUGAAUCGUUGAGCCUGGGAAUUUGGAUUCUUAUGACGAGAAGUGUGAUACUCUCCCUUUGUAAAUUAUUUUUUUAUGUAUGAAAUGAAGGCAGCAAGGCCUGUAGGUAGCUUUUGAAAACUGUUAAUGCCAUAUAAUA